CAAUGGUGAGAAGUUCGAUUCGCUUCCCCGAAAAAUGUUGUCAUCUUUGCCAAAAAUAAUUUUCCUUCGCUAUUUGUGACGAAGGGGGUUGGUGUCGAGUGCUCGAGCGUGAAAGUUUACCUCCGGAUAAAAUCGGUACGGUGUUAGUACCCUGAAAUAAGGUGGCAAUGUGAUAUCUGAGCAGCGUGCUCUGUCAAGUGGUAAUAUUUUACACAUAAAACCAGUUGUUCCCGGGUAAGGCCUUGACAGGAGUCAGUACGGAACAACUUUCCUCGUCGCGCACCAUCUCCGUCGAUCUCAGUACCAUAACAUGGGCCUCGAACAGAUGCCAAUAAAACUGACUAUCAACUAGCUAAAGGUAUGGAACAGACCCAUGGAGUUUCGGAUGGAAAUAUAAACAUAAGUGAUGUCAUUGAAGUCAUUCAAACGGAUCCUGGGUUUGUGGACUGUCAAGGAGAAGAGCAGAGCACAUUUAUGAUGUACUCUGGAGGUGGUGUGGAGAAUGUGGGGAUGGGCUCGGCCGGUUCAGGAGGCAACCGUAGGCAGCCCUACGUAAAUAUCAUUGAACAACCAGCGAGCAAAGCGCUUCGUUUUCGAUAUGAAUGCGAAGGCAGAUCCGCUGGUAGUAUACCAGGGGUGAAUAGCACACCUGAAAACAAGACCUUUCCUAAAAUUCAAGUAGAAAAUCAUACGGGUCGUGCAAUCGUCGUAGUAUCCUGUGUUACUAAAGACCCGCCAUACAGGCCACAUCCGCAUAAUUUGGUUGGUAAAGAAUCAUGCGACAAAGGUAUUUGUACUCUGCAAAUUCCUCCUGAAAGUAUGACGGUGACAUUUUCUAAUCUUGGCAUUCAAUGUGUCAAAAAGAAGGACAUUGAGGAGGCGUUGAAAGUGAGGGAAGAGAUUCGUGUAGACCCCUUUCGGACGGGGUUUUCGCACAGAACUCAGCCUACUGGCAUUGAUUUGAAUGCAGUCAGGCUUUGUUUUCAAGUAUUUUUGGAAAGUACGAAAAAGGGAAAAUUUUCUGUCGCUCUACAGCCUGUCGUUUCAGAUCCCAUAUAUGACAAAAAGGCAAUGUCAGAUUUGGUGAUCUGUAAAUUGAGUGACUGCUGUUGCACAGUAGCAGGUGGCAAAGAAAUUAUUCUAUUAUGUGAAAAGGUUGCCAAAGAAGAUAUUAAAGUUAGGUUUUUCGAAGAGCGUGAUGGACAAGUACUUUGGGAAGGUUUUGCUGACUUCCAACCUAUGAACGUUCACAAACAGGUAGCGAUAACAUUCAGAACUCCGCGAUAUCGAACUCUCGAAGUGGAUCAUCCUGUGAAAGUCUUCAUCCAACUGCUCAGGCCUACAGACGGUGCGACGAGUGAACCACUUGCAUUUGAAUUCCUCCCUCUGGAUUCAGGUAGGCCUGCAUUCUGGUUAUUGCGCAAGGCCUUUGCGAAGAAGAAGGCCGAUUACAAUACUUUUGACAAAAUUUUAGCCACCGAGGCUGCACUGCUUUCAAACGCUAGCCCUAAAAUAUCACGAACAAUCGAUGAGUUCAACAACAAUAAUCUUGAGUUUGAAAAAUCGCACGAUAAACUUGCCGCUCUGCGAGCUCUAAACGAUCUUUACAAAGUCAAAAGUAAUCAGGAGUCGCGUAAUAAAGCCGACUCCCUUAAUUACGAUGAAAAAUCGGGUUGCCACUCCGUGACCAACUGUAUUACCGAUAGUAAUAAUGUAACUGAAACAAAAUUUGCUACAGAUACUGUACACAAUAAUAAUUGUAGUAACUCUGUACUGAAUGGUGAGCGUGUAGUUAAAAAUAACGAGCUAGAUUUUGGCCAACUGAACAGAUGUGACGAAAUAGGGUUCGAAGCUUUGCAAAAAAACUCCGUAACUGGCAAAAAUGCUGAAGUAUCGGAUGUAGCUAGUCUCUCCAAAGAUGGCAAGUCCGACUGGUUCGAUUACACAGAGGUUGGUAAGUGGGUGGACAAAACUCGAGAAGAAAAAUUGAAUGAGAAUGUUAACGAUAAUGUAGGGAAUGGAGAGGAAGGUAGUGAGUCCUUGAACGAGCUGCUUCUCUCUGCAGUGGCCGAAAGUGAUCAAAUCUAUGCUGACAAUCAGGUGAAGUUGUUGAACGAUGCCCUUGAACAAAACCUUGGGGAUCAGCCAAUGGAUGUAGAUGUUUACGAUAAUCAAACCUAUACCAGUCUUCAAAUGGCAAUGAAAAAUCCGAUUCAGUUACUAAAUCCCCCGAGCGUUACCGUGGAUCGAAAAUAUGAAGAUGUUGCUUUACCUGCGCAAAGCCCUAUCAUAUCUAUAUCCCCGCCACCUCUCGCCCCAAAGAGAGAUGUGUCAAGAGACAUGGACGAGAGACUUCCUCCGCUCCCACCCAAAAGAAUUCGUAAAACUCCAUCGAUGCCUGUUUUACCUGUUGUCCCUACCUUGCCACGUCCCUCGUCAACCCAUACUCUCAAUGAAUCCAGCUCCAACCCUAAAGCACCUCAUAAAAAUUUACCCUCACCGCCUAGCACUCUGACAAAACAAUCCAAGCCUGGAUUGUUUUCAAAACUUUUUGCCAAAAAGGCUAAAAAAGAUAAGUCUGAAACCGUGACUACGGAAGCUACACCUGAAGCAGGCAGUCAAUCAAAUUUGAUCAUAGGCAGCAGCGCUUCCACUUUAUACAAAGACAGCCUCAACAAUUUAUCUUCAUCCAGUCUUCCACGACCAAGCAUGACUAGCGUAACUAGUGUCAAAUCACUUAGACUGGAUGGUGACGAGUCCCCGCCUUACGGCAUCGAGCUCACAGAAGCCGAACACUACGCUCUGUACACAACUAUGGCUCCUCAUGCCACUGCUUCUGAAUUUGAUGAAAUGUCGUUUUAUUACAGCCCUGUGGAGGGGGGAAAAAUACUGUCAGAAAAAAUUGAUUCCUAAAACAUCAUUUAGUACAUUGUCGUAAUUCGUUGAACAAUUGAGUUAGUUAUGCAUGGUCAAGAAGCAAUUACACUACCCAAUGUGUUUCCUGAUUGUUGAGCAUCUAAGAAAUAUUUAAUAACUUCGAUAUACACGCUCUUACAAAGUCAGAUUCGACGUCCAUUUUUAGAGCCCAUGGUGAGAAACAAAGCCAAUAAUCCUUCAAGAAUUGACAAACAUCAUUUAAUGUUUGGUGGAUCCUAACAAUGAUUAAUGGUUGCAUGGCAAAUUUUACUCAAAAAGUGUGUGAAUGCAGUGUAUUAUUUAUUGUCACAGUCCAAUAUGCACUGCAAUUGCAUAAUGUGCAAUCUAUUCUUAUUCCCAAGUCAUUUUCAGAUAUUACUAUUACAGAGCAGAUUAAACUGACUUUAUGUAUGAACGUUAAUAUAAGAUACGUCAUGUCAAAUAAGUUUUUCAAUUGCAUUUUUUGUAGAAACUUUGAUGAUUCUUUCCAUACUAAACAUACCUUUAAUGGUUCAUUGGUCGUAAAUCAAAUGUUUGUCAACAAUUAUUAUUGUUGCUAGGUGUUUUUACAAAAAAUCCCUUAAAUUAAAUUGUGCAAACUUUAAAAUAUGCAAAAAUCAAGCAAUAAUUAGAUUUUUGUCAGUAGUCAAAUCCUAACUUAUAUGGGUCGAUUUAUCCAUUUUUACAUCGGAAUUUGAGAGAAAUUUGAGUACCGGAAAAAUUUGGUGCUUCGCAAGUCGCUGCAAAAUGUGAUUAUUUUAAUAAUAUCUCGAUUAGUAUUAGAAAUAAUAUAUGCAUUCAUUGACUUUGCCACAUAAAUGAGAUUUCAGCUGGAUUAGAAAACGAUUAGUGUCUGAUCAACCGAAAUCAAUAACUAUCGACCGUUUUUAAAUAAACAGUUCUGUUAGUUUACGCUUUUUUUUUUUUAGUUCUUUGCCAGUAGAAUUCAUUUUCUAUUCUGCAAUGAUCUAGUCAAUAUAUGGUACUAUUAAUUAUUAGUCAACUGUCGUUGUGUUGGUAGAAAUAUAAUGGUUCAUCAGCACUUUCCUUUUAUAAUGCAAACGAAUUGUAAAAAUUCAUUCUCUGUUUUUACUGUUCAAAAUUGAUUAUUGAUCACCCCCUAAAAGCAAUGGAAACAUUUUAAGGAUUUCCUGCGAAUUAUGUAUAAGUAUACAUACUGACUUCAUUUAAUAUCUAGUACAUACAGGAAAUAGCGAUUUAUUACUGUUGACAAACAGUAUGCAGCAACUGCAAUGUUUAAGUUUAGGUUUAGAUUUUUCAAACGAAUUGAAUAUUGCUCCGCCUUCGGUUUCCUUGGUGCUAUUUUUGCGUAAAAUAAUAAAUAAAUUUAUAAUAUUCUGACAAAGCAGGUGUACAAAAAUGUUUGGAUUUAUUCUGUCGGUAUAAAGCAGAUCGUUAUUUGUACAACAAGAAUGUAAGCAAAAUAUUUGAACUGGGUGAGGAUAUUUUGGGAUAAAUUCCUUUGUUACCAUGAGAAAUAUUUAACUGUCAAAUAUAUAUUGUUUUCUAUUAAUUCGCAGAGCGGAGAAACGUUAUAUUUGGUUGCUAUCAGCAAAUAAAAUUUAAGUUAUAGUUUAUCUAAAAUUAUUUGUGCUAGCGCUGCAAACAAUUUUAAACCACAUUAUGGUUGUUUCAUAUUAACAUCCUAAUCUUGUUCUCUAUUCAAAUGACUUGUAGCACAGAAUGAGAAGCAGUAUUAUUGAUAAAAAGAGAAAGAGAAAAAACCAAGAUGGAAAAACGUUUCAAAGUAAAAAUUAUUUUAGACAUCUUCGAUGCCCUACAUCAGGCGAAAAGCGAUAUUUUUAAAAGUCUAUUUGGAACAGAACAGGGUGCAAGGUGCUAGGUACUGAGUAUUGUUGUAGGCCCCCAAAAACUGGAAAUAAGCAACGUUACCUUUAAACUUUGAACUGUGUGGCCUUCUUUUAUACCGAAUAUUAUUAUUAAUAUAUCAUGUGGCGUGCAAUAUUAAGUAAUACAUGACACUUCUGCGAGGCGGUAACAGCUUUCAUAUUGAAGAAUAAUAUUGAUUUGUUGGGCGAUUUUUGAUGCUUUUAAUGCGAAUCGAAGUGUCUUUUACACCUCAGAAUAGUGUUUUCUAACGUGUGAAUCAUUUGUAGAUACCACAUUGAAACGAAAAAGAAAAUAUACUAACGAAUCCAACGUCAAUCUGUUGAGGCAUUUUCAGGCAGAAGCCGAAAGACAUGGUGCCGUACAGUACCAGGCUGUAGGCUGUGGUUUGAAUAAAAUAAAAAUUGAACCAGCCGAU
rnacentral:misc_RNA from 1 species